CCCUUGUCUUAUACGCUCACGCCAGGCUCCUUCAUACCAAUGCCUAUUGGCAAAACGACAGACACCAAAUCCAUGCAUCUUGUAUUCUUCAGCAUAUGUGUCCCCAUCUUUAAGUAAGAAACGAUGUCAAUAUGGGAAGAAAAAGAUUCAUAUGCCUAUGCAUUAAAAAAAAAAAACAGAACAAACAAUUAAUACAAUCUACUAUUAAACUCACUAUCUAAUAAAAUUCAGCAAGGUAUCUGGACCAACAAAAUGAACACAAAUUAUCCUUAUGAAUGACAUUUUCAAGAUCACUUUAAUCUUUGUCUACCGAUUAAUAAAAUUACGAUCAAACUUAAGCUCACAGUUUGUUUAAAUGUAAAUGCAAGAUUGUUCGGCAUUUCCUUCUCCAAGAAAUUAAUUGCCUUUUCCUCCUUCAUUCCACUGCUGCUUGCAAUAAAAUUAAACAUUGAGAAUUUCUUACCUAUAUCACCUCAUUGCAUUCUUAUAAAUAAACAUAACCGGCUCUCCCAAUCGAAUUAUGAAUAGUAACUCUUUCAAACAAAAUUAACCAUUAUUUUUUCACCAAUUGCCUUCUUCAUCCGCUUCGAACUGCACACCAGUAAAUCAAACAGAUGAGAUAUUCCCUCUACUUUCAGAUAUGGGUAAUUCCUAUACUUUCAGCACCGGAAAAUAUAGGUUGCAAUUUGCUACUACGUUUACAGAAGCACCAUCUGAUUUGUUCCCACAACAGCCUAUAUUCAUAAACAAAACAUCCGAAUCUUUUUCCCCACAAAAUUGCGAUCGUCUUCUCUUGUAUUUGGUGUAUCUUGAUUAUUUGUCAAAUUAAAUCACAUAUACCCGCUGGUUUCUUUGCCUCUUGCCAUCGAAAUUGCUCUGUUGACAACCCAGGUUCCAACUUAGGUGAAUCCUCCGAAUAUUUUCCCCCCAAUAAAAUGCGAUCGUCUUCUUUUCAUAUUCGUGUCUCCGGAUUAUUUCUUAACGGCCAUCUUCUCAACCCUUUGUUUCUCUUUUCUCGUGAGUAAAUCAUUCAUGUUCUUCCUAAUCACCUGUUUCAAACUGACGCCCCCUCAAAAGCCAUUACUUGAGUAGAUAACUGGCUUCAACGGUUGCUAGUACAUACUUUGUUUUUCCACUCAAUAAUCUUAACCGUUAGAUGGAGUCUCUUCAGAUCCUACGAUAAUUG
rnacentral:lncRNA from 1 species